CGGAACGUGCCCAGUCGUGGGGGAUAACUACUCGAAAGAGUAGCUAAUACCGCAUACGAUCUGAGGAUGAAAGCGGGGGACCUCCGGGCCUCGCGCGAUUGGAGCGGCCGAUGGCAGAUUAGGUAGUUGGUGGGAUAAAAGCUUACCAAGCCGACGAUCUGUAGCUGGUCUGAGAGGACGACCAGCCACACUGGGACUGAGACACGGCCCAGACUCCUACGGGAGGCAGCAGUGGGGAAUUUUGGACAAUGGGCGAAAGCCUGAUCCAGCAAUGCCGCGUGCAGGAUGAAGGCCUUCGGGUUGUAAACUGCUUUUGUACGGAACGAAAAAGCUUCUCCUAAUACGAGAGGCCCAUGACGGUACCGUAAGAAUAAGCACCGGCUAACUACGUGCCAGCAGCCGCGGUAAUACGUAGGGUGCGAGCGUUAAUCGGAAUUACUGGGCGUAAAGCGUGCGCAGGCGGUUAUGUAAGACAGAUGUGAAAUCCCCGGGCUCAACCUGGGAACUGCAUUUGUGACUGCAUGGCUAGAGUACGGUAGAGGGGGAUGGAAUUCCGCGU
rnacentral:rRNA from 1 species